AACGAACGUUGGCGGCGUGGAUGAGGCAUGCAGGUCGAACGUGAAAGCCGACAAGGCGAGUAAAGUGGCGGACGGGCGAGUAACACGUAACCAAGCUGCCUGCGAGACGGGAAUAACCUCGGGGAAACCGAGGCUAAGACCCGAUGGCCUCCAGAGACCGCAUGGUCAUUGGAGUAAAUGGACGGGAUCCUUUGGGACCGCCUGCUCGCAGAGGUGAUUGCGGCCCAUCAGCAGUUGGUAGGGUAACGGCCUACCAAGGCUACGACGGGUAGCCGGCCUUAGAGGGUGGUCGGCCGCACUGGGACUGAGACACUGCCCAGA
rnacentral:rRNA from 1 species